rnacentral:rRNA from 1 species
GAUGAACGCUGGCGGCGUGCCUAAUACAUGCAAGUCGAGCGAACAGACGAGGAGCUUGCUCCUCUGACGUUAGCGGCGGACGGGUGAGUAACACGUGGCUAACCUACCUAUAAGACUGGGAUAACUUCGGGAAACCGGAGCUAAUACCGGAUAAUAUAUUGAACCGCAUGGUUCAAUAGUGAAAGACGGUUUUGCUGUCACUUAUAGAUGGAUCCGCGCCGCAUUAGCUAGUUGGUAAGGUAACGGCUUACCAAGGCGACGAUGCGUAGCCGACCUGAGAGGGUGAUCGGCCACACUGGAACUGAGACACGGUCCAGACUCCUACGGGAGGCAGCAGUAGGGAAUCUUCCGCAAUGGGCGAAAGCCUAACGGAGCAACGCCGCGUGAGUGAUGAAGGUCUUCGGAUCGUAAAACUCUGUUAUUAGGGAAGAACAAAUGUGUAAGUAACUAUGCACGUCUUGACGGUACCUAAUCAGAAAGCCACGGCUAAAUACGUG